UGGCCAUGGUGGGCAGGGUAUCUAUGGAUUUCUAUUUUCCACACCAAUUGCAUAUUUCACAAGUCUGUUUCCUGGUGGCUGACUGCCCUCCUAUUCCUGACCUACCGGAACCAUCAUCAUUUCAAGAAACAGACAUAGGAAUAUUCUCCUUCCAGGUGGUGGGAACUUCUGAGGAAGUGAGAGGCUUUGAGGACAAGAAGGACCACUCCAAAGGCUCCCUUGGGACUGUGUGGGGGAGAAAGCUUUACAUGUCAGAAUCUGACAGACUUGGACUUCCAAUUCCAGAUCCACGUGUACUUAUCCGUAGGUUCUUGGAAAACUCUUUAAAUAGUCUGAGUCUCUGCUUCCUCAUCUGUAAAACUAGCAUCAUAACCUAUAUGAGGGUGCGGUUUUGAGGCUUUGAGACACAUGACAGGUUCUUCCUCCUGAAGGGGAACUCAGAUAAGACUGUGGGAAACGUAUAUUGGCUCGAGAAACCUUACCUUUCUGUUUUGCUUCUAGGUUUAGGUAGCUUAGAGCCCUCGGUAUUUCCAGGAAUAGUAAAAUUGAAUACAUCCCUCUGGGAAAACUCCAGGAAAAUGCUGGCAUUUCAUAACUAUUUACUGUGAGAACAUUUGUUCAUUUGUUUAAUUGGUCAGUGAGAGAACAAAUACUUAGUAAACUUGUUGGGCACUGGGCUAAAUAUUACAGAUAACAUGAUGGAAAAAGACCCAAUCCCUGCCCUCAAGGAGUGGCAGCUGUUGUAUUUGGUUGAUUUUCCCCCCAGCUGAUGAUAUUAAAACCCCACGUGGCCUGAGUAGAGUUGCUGAAAGAGCAGUGAAAGGAAACAGCAAAUGCUCCUCUGAGUUUACAUAGCCCUGGGAGUUGGCAAUUCCAACCACAAUUACAGUCUUUUCUGUCAAGGUUGACCUUUAAGGAGAUUGCCUCAAUUAUAAAAGGUCAACAUCUCCCGGUUCUGGCACAAGCAAGUCCUGAGCUUGGUAAUAAAAUAUAGCCAAAUAACCCCAUGGAGGUCUCUUACCUCUGCCAUCCAGCAAUGGCCUG
rnacentral:lncRNA from 10 species